AUUGAACGCUGGCGGCAGGCCUAACACAUGCAAGUCGAACGAGUGGCGGACGGGUGAGUAAUGUCUGGGAAACUGCCCGAUGGAGGGGGAUAACUACUGGAAACGGUAGCUAAUACCGCAUACCAUCAGAUGUGCCCAGAUGGGAUUGGUAAGUUGGUGGGGUAACGGCUCACCAAGGCGACGAUCCCUAGCUGGUCUGAGAGGAUGACCGGCAACACUGGAACGGAGCAACGGUCAAGAUUCCAACGGGAGGCAGAAGUGGGGAAUAUUGCACAAGGGGCGCAAGCCUGAUGCAGCCAGGCGGCGUGUAUGAAGAAGGCCUUCGGGUUGUAAAGUACUUUCAGCGGGAAGGCGUUACCCGCAGAAGAAGCACCGGCUAACUCCGUGCCAGCAGCCGCGGUAAUUC
rnacentral:rRNA from 1 species